AGAACCUGCUUGCUCAGAUCC
rnacentral:miRNA from 1 species